rnacentral:piRNA from 1 species
UAACAGAGCUCUUUUCCCGGUGUG